rnacentral:rRNA from 1 species
AUGGAUCGGGUGGAGGGGAUGCUGAAGGACCUUCAUCUGUCCGAGGCGGAGCAGAAGGGGGUGAAGAUCACAAGGAGAGGUAGCAGCAGAAGGAGACCGAAUACACUGCAGGUAUUUGCUAAACUCUUCUUGGAAAGACCAGCUAGAGCUUCGAUACUAGAGCGUAUUCUUGGUGAUAUUUGGAGCCCAAUGUAUGGAAUCGAAUGCAAGGAGCUGGGAGGAAAUAGAUUUCUGUUUACAUUCAAAGAUGCAGCGGGGAAAAAAAAGGCAGUAGAAGAUGGACCGUGGAACUUUGAUAAAGAACUGCUAGUAGUGGAAGAAUUCGAUGAAAAGAAAUCUUUGGAAGAGCUGCAGUUUAAUUCCAUACCAAUCUGGGUGAGAAUAUUUGGUUUAAUAUUUGAAACCAUGAAUAGAGAAACGGGAGAAUUAAUCGGAGAUCACAUAGGAGAAUGCUUAAAAGUGGAAACCGAUGAGGAUGAUUGGGCAGUAGGGGCGUACAUUCGGGUCAAAGUUAAAAUUGAUAUACGUAAGCCCAUUAUGAGAGGAAUGUUCUUGAACCUGGAUGAAAGUGAUGGAGAGGAUGAAGAGGGUAGUGCAAGGUAUACAGAGAAGGAAACAAAUAUGGAAGAAAACCAGGAUGAAAAAAAGAAAAGGAGAUGGGUUCGCUUUGAAUAUGAAUAUUUGCCAAAUUUCUGCUAUGUUUGUGGAAUCAUUGGCCACUGUGAAAAAGACUGUACGGUGAAAAUCAAGAAAGGAGAGACCAAGCAAUUUGGAGGGAGCUUAAGAGCAAAUAUGAUGCGCCCUAGGAGGCGGGAGGAGAAUGGAGGAAGAUAUUUGGGAAACAGGGAGAGCUCCUUCUGGAGAUCGAGCAGUGAUGGAAGUAGAGGCAGUGAUGGUCCAAGCUGGAGGAAAAAGGAUGUUGAGAAAACUAAGAAAGAUGAAGGAGAGGAGACGAGCCCAAUAAGAAAGCAGAGUUCAGUCGAAGAAACAACGACGACUAGCAAGAAAUAUUUGGCUCUCGAGUUGGGGGCUGAAAAAGAGACAAGUGCCAGCAACUCUGAAAAAGAAUCAAGUGCAACUGAAAAGGAAAAAAGAGAAGCGAACCUAGCCAAGGACCAGAUGGUGAAUAAGCAAACGAAGAAAACCAUGGCCAAGGAAAUAGAUGGUAAUAAAUCUGAUGGGCAGGUAGGAGGAAAGAAAUAUAAAAGGCAGGCCAGAGUUACUAAGGGGAGCAAUGUAAGAGUGGGUAUCCAAUUGGGAGUAAAAAGGGGACCAGAACCAAUGGAGAUAGAGGUACCACACGAGGUUAACCCAAAGAAAAUAAGAGGAGAAGAAGUAAAUGAGAAGGAGGAAGAAACCACGAUCACAGCCAAUAAACCUAUUGAGAACGCGGGGCUGUCGGGAUAG